UGCUAAAUGAGUUGUUUAGCAUAUCUAAGAAGCCUGUUCUACUCCCCGGUACUUCAUAAGGGGUCUAAAAACUAAUUUCCCCUCAAUCCCUCUCUUUUUCUACCCUAACUUCUUCAGGCGCCAAACAAAACGCACCACCCAUUCAAUUUUUUCUUACAUCUUAUCCCACAUUCGCAGCCAACGUAAGAGUAAGGGUGGUGAUUGGGAGACUGCUGAGCUAAUUAGGCAUAUUAUCAGAGGAAGAUACCCGACAAAGGGCGAGAGUAUUAGACAAAGAGAUUCUGGAAUUUUCUCAAAUUCUACAGAUCAUCUACUCUCAGAUUCAAAGGAUAAAUUGUUGCCAGAGUAUUCAUUCUCUUCAAACUUGUUGCUUUGCCGCAUCUGCCCUUCUUCAAUGUUCUUCAAUUUCACUCCUCAAGUGGUCAAUCUCCAUUGCUUGCCUCUUGAUUGUGCUGUGGCUACGAAGCUGUCCAGGUAUGUAUCCAAGUUGCUGUUGACAAAUUUCCUUACUACCUAUUGAAGUUGUAGCUUCCAUCUCUUUCAUUGUUGCCUAGACAAGACAUUAUAUCUUUGGUGUUGAAAGGCAUGUCACAAAGGAGUUGUAAAUGCAUAAAAAUAGAAUGACAUCUCGCACCAAAGUCUCUUUUGCUACAUAAUUUAUCAACCCUCCUGUGAUCUUUGAUGUACGACUGAUUUCAAGUAUUUCUAUCUCUGAAAGCUCCACUCCCUUCUUCCUCUUCUGUCAAAUAAUCAGUUUGACUUAAGUGUGAGAAUGUAGAAGGACAAAAAGUAUAAUGGAAUCUCCACCAGCAAAAAGCAUUAACACUGCAAAAAUCAAUCCACCAAUUGCGGUACAAUAGAGUUGUAAUUCAUAAAUUAUUCCAAAUGCUCUCCAAAUCUGAAAAAAACUGAAAGUUAUUUGUAUUCCUCAAAAACCUCCGCCCACAUCACCAUUCAAUAUUUCUUGGCCCGCUAUUGGCCAAACCACCUGGGCACUAGGCCCAAUGUGAAUUGGAUCACUUAGCCACGCUUCAUAAGUGGAAAAACGAGCACCGUUGAAAUACAUGCCGCUCAACCAAAGAAAGAUGAUGGAGAGUUAGCCGAAAUGGGCACUAAAUACUUUUCGAGAAAUCUCCUCCAAAUCACUGGUAUGGCUAUCGAAAUCAUGAGUAUCAGCAUGUAGAUUCCAGAUCCAAGUGGUAGUAUCAGGUCCUUUAGCUAUUGUUCUUGAGAAAUGACCAGGUUUGGCCCAUUCCUCGAAACAACAGAAUUGAUUACCUUCUCUUCAACAACUUUAGCAAGUGACUUUGUUCCCACAGUAGUAUGAGUUUCAUUCUUGGCACGAUUUACUUUGUU